rnacentral:lncRNA from 1 species
GCUACGAAUUUGUAUACAGAAACUGACGAUAUUUUAGUACAGGUGACUACAACAUACGACAGGCUAUUAGAUCCGAUGAAUGAACGCGAUGGCGGACGGCUUGUUGACGAACUACUGGGACCGUUGAACAUAUUUGUUGGAAAUUUGCGAUUGAUCUAACAGACUUGCCGCUGAAAUAUUAAUGGUUGUCCAGAGUUACGAAUAUGUAUACGAAAGGCUAGCUACUAGAGUUGAUGAAUGGACUGAUGGAUUAACUGAUGAUGACGUUGGAAUUUAAUGGGAAUGGUGAGCAGGUAGAGCAACGAAAUUUGACUAUAGUAAACGUACGGAUCUGAAUUUACCUCUAACAUUGUACACAAAUUUACGAUGUUAACGAAUUGAGACUACAAUAAUGAAGGAAGGAAGUGUGGCUAUAUCAUCGUUACUAUAUCGGAUGAAUGAGGUCGUGAAUGACACACUAGAUAUUAUACUGACGAAUUAUGUACAAGACACUGACUAAAUGCAACGAUACUCGACGACGAUUGAACGAAAGUUUGCGUAUAUGAAUUUUGCCUCUGAGAUUGUACAGAGAAAUUUAAACUGAAAUAGUUAGGAGACGAACCGUGCAGCCACGCACAAUAGACAAAUCCCAUUAAUACAUGAUAUGAUAGCCCAUAGUUUUUCGUUUUGGUGGUGACGUUCCACGUGGAGCACGGCAGCAGUACCGAACUCCGUACGUAAUGUAUGGUGUGGGCUGACUGGCCGCACCCGUAGUGGCCCCUAUCGUGGCGGACUCCCUGUGCGACCUUUUCACCCGCCGCCCAACUGCGCCACCCCGCGCACGUUAGCAUUACCUCACCGCCUUCACCAACCCCACAAUAUGCCACC